GUCUGUGAACAUACCGCCCUGAAUGCACCUGAUUGUGUCUCCUCUUGGAAACUAAGCAGGUCGGGCCUGGUUAGUACUUGGAUGAGAAGAGACUGAAGCCCUGGCAGGUG
rnacentral:rRNA from 1 species